rnacentral:rRNA from 1 species
GAUGAACGCUGGCUACAGGCUUAACACAUGCAAGUCGAGGGGAAACGACGGGGAAGCUUGCUUCCCCGGGCGUCGACCGGCGCACGGGUGAGUAACGCGUAUCCAACCUGCCUCUGACUGAGGGAUAACCCGUCGAAAGUCGGCCUGAUACCUCAUGGUAUCGUCUGCGGGCAUCCAACGACGAUUAAAGAUUUCAUCGGUCAGGGAUGGGGAUGCGUCUGAUUAGCUUGUUGGCGGGGUAACGGCCCACCAAGGCUACGAUCAGUAGGGGUUCUGAGAGGAAGGUCCCCCACAUUGGAACUGAGACACGGUCCAAACUCCUACGGGAGGCAGCAGUGAGGAAUAUUGGUCAAUGGGCGAGAGCCUGAAACAGCCAAGUAGCGUGCAGGAAGACGGCCCUAUGGGUUGUAAACUGCUUUUAUGCGGGGAUAAAGUGAGGGACGUGCCCCUCAUUGAAGGUACCGCAUGAAUAAGGACCGGCUAAUUCCGUG